GUCGUACUCCCUCCGUCCCAAAAUUCUUGUCUUAGAUUUGUCUAGAUACAACUGUAUCUAGUGUUAGAUACAUCCGUAUCUAGACAAAUCUAAGACGAGAAUUUUAGGACAAAGGGAGUACCAA
rfam:Triticum aestivum genome assembly, contig: Triticum_aestivum_CS42_TGACv1_scaffold_093032_2AL